rnacentral:lncRNA from 1 species
GCGGCGAUAGAAUUGUGCUGGAGUGGAAGAAGGGGAGCAGAGGGCAUUAUUACUUGGCAGGGAGCUCAGUGCGAGAUGGAGCUUCGGGAGCCAGGUGGAGUCCAGAGCGAUGUGGAGCUCCAGGAGGUGGAUCGGGUACGAGAUAGGAUACUCAGGAGGACGAGAGGCGACAUCGCAAUGUGAGAUUCCUAUUACCGCAAGACGAUGCCCCGAGCAGGUCUCA